rnacentral:rRNA from 1 species
AUUGAACGCUGGCGGCAUGCUUUACACAUGCAAGUCGAACGGUAACAGGUCUUCGGAUGCUGACGAGUGGCGAACGGGUGAGUAAUACAUCGGGACGUGCCUAGUAGUGGGGGAUAACUACUCGAAAGAGUAGCUAAUACCGCAUGAGAUCUACGGAUGAAAGCAGGGGACCUUCGGGCCUUGUGCUACUAGAGCGGCUGAUGGCAGAUUAGGUAGUUGGUGGGGUAAAGGCUUACCAAGCCUGCGAUCUGUAGCUGGUCUGAGAGGACGACCAGCCACACUGGGACUGAGACACGGCCCAGACUCCUACGGGAGGCAGCAGUGGGGAAUUUUGGACAAUGGGCGAAAGCCUGAUCCAGCAAUGCCGCGUGCAGGAUGAAGGCCCUCGGGUUGUAAACUGCUUUUGUACGGAACGAAAAGCCUGGGGCUAAUAUCCCCGGGUCAUGACGGUACCGUAAGAAUAAGCACCGGCUAACUACGUG